CGCCGCGUGAGUGAAGAAGGUUUUCGGAUCGUAAAACUCUGUUGUUAGAGAAGAACAAGGACGUUAGUAACUGAACGUCCCCUGACGGUAUCUAACCAGAAAGCCACGGCUAACUACGUGCCAGCAGCCGCGGUAAUACGUAGGUGGCAAGCGUUGUCCGGAUUUAUUGGGCGUAAAGCGAGCGCAGGCGGUUUCUUAAGUCUGAUGUGAAAGCCCCCGGCUCAACCGGGGAGGGUCAUUGGAAACUGGGAGACUUGAGUGCAGAAGAGGAGAGUGGAAUUCCAUGUGUAGCGGUGAAAUGCGUAGAUAUAUGGAGGAACACCAGUGGCGAAGGCGGCUCUCUGGUCUGUAACUGACGCUGAGGCUCGAAAGCGUGGGGAGCAAACAGGAUUAGAUACCC
rnacentral:rRNA from 1 species